UGCAAGUCGACGGCAGCACGGACUUCGGUCUGGUGGCGAGUGGCGAACGGGYGAKUAAUAUAUCGGAACGUAUCCAUAAKGGGGGAUAACUAAUCGAAAGGUUGGCUAAUACCGCAUACGCCCUACGGGGGAAAGCUAGGGAUCUUCGGACCUGGCGUUAAUGGAGCGGCCGAUAUCUGAUUAGCUAGUUGGKGGGGUAAAGGCCCACCARGGCGACRAUCAGUAGCUGGUCUGAGAGGACGACCAGCCACACUGGAACUGAGACACGGUCCAGACUCCUACGGGAGGCAGCAGUGGGGAAUUUUGGACAAUGGGCGCAAGCCUGAUCCAGCCAUUCCGCGUGAGUGAAGAAGGCCUUCGGGUUGUAAAGCUCUUUCGCAAGGGAAGAAAACUUAUCCUCUAACAUAGGAUGAGGUUGACGGUACCUUGAUAAGAAGCACCGGCUAACUACGUGCCAGCAGCCGCGGUAAUACGUAGGGUGCGAGCGUUAAUCGGAAUUACUGGGCGUAAAGCGUGCGCAGGCUGUUUUGUAAGUCAGAUGUGAAAUCCCUGAGCUCAACUUAGGAACUGCGUUUGAAACUACAAGACUAGAAUAUGUCAGGGGGGGGUAGAAUUCCACGUGUAGCAGUGAAAUGCGUAGAGAUGUGGAGGAAUACCAAUGGCGAAGGCAGCCCCCUGGGAUAAUAUUGACGCUCAUGCACGAAAGCGUGGGGAGCAAACAGGAUUAGAUACCCUGGUAGUCCA
rnacentral:rRNA from 1 species